UACAUGGGGUGCAAACGUUGCUCGGAAUCAUUGGGCGUAAAGCGCGCGUAGGCGGUUACUUAUGUCGGAUGUGAAAGCCCUCGGCUUAACCGAGGAAGUGCAUCCGAAACUGAGUAGCUAGAGUACUAAAGAGGGUCGCGGAAUUCCCGGUGUAGAGGUGAAAUUCGUAGAUAUCGGGAGGAACACCGGUGGCGAAGGCGGCGACCUGGGUAGAGACUGACGCUGAGGCGCGAAAGCGUGGGGAGCAAACAGG
rnacentral:rRNA from 1 species